GAGAGCUAAACAAGUGAAAAAUCUCAGCUAGAUACGGAAGAGAAAAGAGAUAUUGGUUUGCCCAAGGUCUUCGGAUAAACCAGAAAAAGAAAAGAUUCCAGUUCUGGCUGAGAAUUCUGAAGAAGCAUCUAGGCCCUACAGCUGGGACACCGUAGAGAACCUGGCUUGUUCCUCAAAGAAUAAAAACACCUUCCCUGAAA